UCCCUGAUGGUCCAGUGGUUAGGACACCGUGCUUUUACUUCCAAGGGCCUGGGUUCAAUCCCUGCUUGGGGAA
rnacentral:tRNA from 1 species